rnacentral:rRNA from 1 species
UACGUACCGUCCAAACGUUAUUCGGAAUUACUGGGCUUAAAGGGUAUGUAGGCGGCGCUGUUAGUCGGGUGUGAAAUCCCACGGCUCAACCGUGGAAUUGCGCCCGAUACUGCAGUGCUUGAGGGAGACAGAGGUAAGCGGAACUGAUGGUGGAGCGGUGAAAUGCGUUGAUAUCGUCAGGAACACCGGUGGCGAAAGCGGCUUACUGGGUCUCUUCUGACGCUGAGAUACGAAAGCUAGGGGAGCGAAGGGG